CAGAUCAGAAUGCUGCGGUGAAUGCGUUCCCGGGUCUUGUACACACCGCCCGUCACACCACGGGAGUUGGAGACGCCCGAAGCCGAUUAUCUAACCUUUUGGAAGAAGUCGUCGAAGGUGGAAUCAAUAACUGGGGUGAAGUCGUAACAAGGUAGCCGUAUCGGAAGGUGCGGCUGGAUCACCUCCUUUCUAAGGGGA
rnacentral:rRNA from 1 species